GGAAUUCCAGAGUGCAGACAUGAGUACAGCUACAAAUACAGAUAAAGAUGUCAGAAGUUAAGGCUCUCUUCUUUCUUCUCUUCCCGGGUAUUGCUGUCUAUUCACAAACAAACCGCCUAACUGUGACUGAGAGCUGCCCAGUUCCUCUCCCAUGGAACAGAGCUACACAAAGCACCUGCAAAAUUCAUGUGUUUGGACAGAAAAUGACAGAACUGGAGACAGGUUAACCACCGGGCAACAUGAAAUGCUCUGCAGCUCAGUAACUUAGGAAAGUGAUACUGUGAAAUUUUCCUUUGAAAUAGGAACAAAUUCUAAAUCAGUACUUUCAUGGGGCUGUUUUGUUUGAAUUUAUUCACAUAACCAUAGCAGGGUACUGGAAAGAAGCUAUACCCAACACCUGGGAAUUGAUGUUAUCGCUAAGUAGUUUGGUCUAAAGCCCUUAGAGAUAGUACCUAGGUCUUUUAAGAUUUCUUUGUUUUCUAUGACUUCAUAAACUACUAGUGCUAAAUGACUAAAACAUUGAGGAAUGAAAUAGAUUAGUUUCAGUGUCUUAAAAACCUCUUGAUCUUUAAAUUUGUAUCUUUUUAUUCCUCAGAUACUUCUGGCUCUGACGGGUCCAGAAAUGCCGUUUUAUUUCAGCAUCUCCCUAUGCCCUGACAACGGCCUUCUCUCCCCCUCCCCCAAUUUUCAGAUCUUUCUAAGGGCGAUAUUAAAGAUGAGAGAGCAAGAGAGAACUAAAAUGUGGAUACUCUGAGUAUUCAUUUUUUUAAUUAAGUAAAUAUUGGUGAUGAAAAAACAAAAGCUACAGGUUUCUGUGAUAUAUUUAAAGCCAUAUUUGUCUGUUUAUGAUAGAAAACUUGGGUUUAAGUGACAACUCUCCCUCAUGCUUUCUGCAUUUAUUGAACUUAAAUUCCAUCUCAAUCUAGUUCUAACUCGUUUCUUCAGAGAGAAAGCAAAAGGAUUAUUUUGAAACUGAAUCUUCUCUUGACUACCUACAACCAAAUGUUGUUGGAAAUUAUUAUUAAACCAACCAAAUCAAUGGGAAUCACGUGGUAUCUCCAAAGGACCAUUCAUUCCUUCAUUUAACAAGCUCCCCUAGGCUGUCCAGCCAUUGUGUUCUCAUGUAACAGAAUCCAGAGCUGGAAGGAAGAAAAGGCAAGGGGGUCUUUUUUCAGGGAGAAUAACCUCUUGGGAUAUCUCCUAGCUCACUGUCCUCACGUCCUUGGGCAGAACUUGUACCUCCUCUGGUCAAGCUGCUAGAGGAAAUGUACGAGGUUUCUGUAACUCUCCUAGACCAAUUAUGAGUCGUUCCCUAGACAGGUCUGGGUAUACUGUCACCUGAACAGGAACGGCUGAUAAAUCUUGUGGUGGGAGACAGUGCAUGGGCUUUAUUGGAGAGAAGCUGGUAAGUUUGAACAACUAACAGGUCACACAGGUCACACAGGUCAGUGUUUCUGAACAGGGUAGUAGCAGAAUGGGAUGGUUCAAAUGUGUCAGAAAUAGCCCGGGGUAGAGGGGUUCUCAAGAACUAAACCGCGGAGGAGACUGCAAGUCUGCAGUGUGGGAUGACCAAGGCCACCGUGUACCCCACAUCUCGGAAGGGGCUCUAUCUCCCUGCGUCAUUGUGAGGGAUGAGACUGGUUUGUCUAAAGCACUGGGUGGGGAGUGUGUAUUUUUAGCUUUCUUUUGGGAUGAUUCUGGUUGCCUUUGGGCACGUAGUGGGCCUGUUUGCCUCACUGAGAGAGGGUGUCAGUGUCCAGUGGGCUUGCAAAAGUAAUCUGGGGAUUGUCAGUUGUGUUUCCACCAUUAGAUGCUGAGGGACUCAGUGCCACUACAGUGGACCAAAAGGGCCAGAAGGCCUGCAGUGCUGUGGGUGACGUUCCAGUGUAUCUGCCACAGGCACAGCUUCAGGAGACUCCUGGACAUGUGCAGCUGCCUGUGUCAGUGCCCUGGGUCUUGAAAGAUUUCGGGCUUCUUUAAUGCUCGAGGCAAGGGUGGGCAAUUGAAAGAACUGUUGAGAAAAGCAUUCCAAGUGGCUGCAUCAGUGACUGGGGACAGAGCUGGUAUUUCUGAAGCUCCAGAUAAUAAGGUACCUGUGUGUUUGAAAACAAACAAACAACAACAACAAAAAACCCCUCUGGGUUAAGUAUAGUGGUACAAGGGGGAGAUGCUGCAAAGCAAAGGAUAAAUUUUAGGCUGUUUAAUGUGUUUGUUCUGUGCAACUGGAUUAAAUUGUCCUUUAUCAAGUAUGCAUCACCACGAGCCCCUUCAGAUGUGUUCUUUUUUAAUGACAGUAGAGGACGAGCAGCAAAUUCAUCGCCUAGAACGCUCUUCCCCAUAUGGUUCAAAUGUAAAGUGUGCUGUGAAAACCACUCACAUGUGAUUUGUAAAGUGGACGAGGAGGAGAAACCAUUACUCCCUGGGACCACUGAGGGCAGACACCUGCAUAGAUGUGAAGUUUAUUGCAGCUUCCCAAGGAGUAAUAGGAAUCAUCCAAUUCAGCAUCUCGAAAUGGACUGUUUGCAUACUUGCAUAUAUAAACUAUGUAGGUAUAUGAUUAUACAUAUACUGCAUUGGACAGGAUGCACAAUUAGUUUGGCUGAAGCCAUUUUCCAUCAACAGCUGGCCAGAUGGCAUUAAUGAAAAUGUCUUCUCCUAAACCCUGAAACUAAUACAGUGUUAUAUGUGAAUUAUGCCUCAGUGAUAAAAAAAAAUGUAAAGUGGAAUACAAAUUCUAUUGUGACACUAAGAAUUUUAACAUCUCUUUUGGUUUUGUUUAAUCUCUGUCAGCAAUUGUUUUUUCAGACUCCCAUGCCGACUUAUGAUUAUGGUGGAUACAAGAAAAAAAGAUCGUUUUCACUUGUCUUUAGAUGCUACCAUCCUUUGUGAAAGGAACUGAGGUUUGACCAUCUGUAAUGGAGUGGGCAAUGAGGUAUGAUUACUAGGGGUCCAGAGACAAGAACGAGAGCAGUCAGGAUGGAGGAGUCAUGAGAAGAGACACUGAAAUGGGGAAGUUGCUUAUUUCAAAAAUUGUGGUAAAAUACAUAUAACCCAAAAUUUACCAGCUUAACUACUUUUAAGUGUAUUGUUCAGUCAUGUUAAACAUAGUCAUAAUAUUGUGCAUCCAAUCUCUAGAACUCUUCAUUUUGCAAAACGGAAACUUUAUACCCAUUAAACAACUCUCCACUCCCCCUCCCCCAUCUCUGGCAUCUCCCAACCUCCGCUCUGAGUUCUGUCUCUAGGAAGCUGGCUGCUCCAGGGGCCUCACGCUAUUUCCAUGAGCGGCUGCAGACCUUGCUGUACGACAUCCCCUGACGUGAGUGUGCACUUGAAUUCUGGUGAGGACACUUCCCCUGUGUUCUCUCACCCUAGGGGAGGUCUCCGCUUUCUGCAGCAUUAAUCUCCUGGCAACGUUUCUUCUUUUGCCUUGUUUCUUUACGGCCCUUCCUCAUUUUCACUCUUCCAGCUUUCUAAUACUAGUGUAACCAGUUCCUUCUGUUAGAAGUCAGAAAAGGAUUUCUAUUUUCCUGAUUGAACCUAAUUGAUAGAAGAAACAAAUGAAUAUGUUGAUUUUAAAGGGUGGCAAGUGCUUUGAAGGAGAUGAAAGGGUAAAAUGGAGUUCUUUAGAUAUUUUUUUAAAGCCUUCUUAAAAAGUGAAGUUAUUUGAUACCCUGGCCUGAUGGCUCAGAUGGUUGGAGUAUUGUCCUGUACGCCAAAGUGUUGUGGGUUCGAUCCCCACUCAGGGCACAUACCUAGGUUGUAGGUCUGAUCCCCAGGCGCACACAUAUGGGAGGCCACCAACUGAUGUUCUCUUUCUCUUUCUCUGCCACCCACCCAAGCCCCACUUUCCUCUCUCUCUCUCUGAAAUCAGUAAAAUGUAUCCUCUGGGGAUGAUUAAAUUAAAAAAUAUUUUUUAAAAAUGAAGCUAUUUGAGCUGCAGACUAAAAAGAAGAUAAUAAUGUGGAGAUCUGGGAGAAGUGUGUUUCAGCCAGAGCAGAUAUUCUUUGGAUGAUAAUUAGUGGUAUCUUGAAUUAGAAGGUUGGCAGUAGAGAUAAAGUGAUGGAGUCAAGAUGUAUGUCCGGGUAGAAUUAAAAAAGAAUUGUUUAUGAAAAAUAAAAGUUGGAGGGGAGCAAUACAAGAGGAUGUGCUUGGCUGAACAAUGGCCACCCAGACACACAGGUGGUCAUCCUUGGGACAAGCGAAUGUUACCUUAUUUGACAAAAAGAGGCUUUGCAGAUAUGAUCAAGGAUCUUGAGACAGGGAGGAUUACCCUGUAUUGUCUGAGUAAUUCCUAAAUGGAAUCACCUGUGCCCUUUUUGGAGGGCGGCUUGACAUGAAAGAGAAGGAAACAUGACCUAUGGAGGGGCGUGGGCAGUGUCAGGGGCUAGGAUGCUAGGCACUGGUUCUGAAGAUGAGAGGUGGGGGUCGCCAGCCAAAGAGUAAAGGCAGGUCCCAGAAGGUGAAAAGGCAGGGAAAUUGAUGGUCUCUGGAGGAAGUGCAGACCCCUGCCACCUGACUGUGGCCUAGUGAGAUCCCUUGUGGGCUUCUGGCUUCUAAAACGGUGAGAAAAUUAAUUUGUGUUGUUUUAAGCCACCAAGUUUGUGGUAACUUGUUCUAGGGGUCACCGGAAAGCAAUACAGAAGUGUGGUACAUUUACUAAAAUGAGAUGUAUUGGGAAAAGAUCAGGCAGGUUUGAAGGUGGGAAGUGUCAAAGAAAUAUCACAAGAUCAUUUUCGAACUUGUUGGUCUAAAGAUCUAUGAGUAACUUAAAUUGAAAAGAUUAGUUGACUCUUGAAUGUGUCCUACUUGGAUAUUGGCUGACUUUCUCAGACCUAUUGAUUGUUGUUUUUCAUCAAGUUAGGGAAAUAUUCAAUAUUUGUUUUGUUUCAAUAUUUGUUUUGUUUCAUUAUCUCUUUUUUUCUUAUUUCUGGGACUCCCAUUACUGAAACAUGUUAGACUUCUUAAUAUUAUUCCACAAGCUGUUGAGGCCCUGCUCAUUAAAUUUAUUUUUAUUUUUGAAAUCUGUAUUUAAGUUUGGAAGUUUCUGUUGUCACUGAUUCCUUUCU